rnacentral:snRNA from 1 species
GUGCUCACUUGGGCAGCACAUAUACUCAAAUUGGAAGAUUAGCAUGUUGCUUGUGCAAGGACCAGAGCAAAGUUAUGAAGAAUUCCAUAUUCAC